AGGAAGGGAAGGAGGCGGCGGUCUAGGGUGGCAGGGCAGACUGGGGCAGGGGCGAGAAGGCCCGGUUGAGGGUAGAGGACUCCGGAGUCCUGGCCUGGAAACAGCAGGCUCCGGGGAGCCCUGGCGGUGGCUGCAUCUGGGGACCGAGGAGUAAGAGGAGGCAGCAGCUAAUGCUGCGAGGAGGAGCAGGGGCCAAUGCUGCGCCUGGAGGAAGGGAGGUUGCGGAUGGAGGAGCCCCCGGAACCGGAGAGGGAAGAGAGGCUGCUGGCG